AACGAACGCUGGCGGCAUGCCUAACACAUGCAAGUCGAACGAGACCUUCGGGUCUAGUGGCGCACGGGGGCGUAACGGGUUGGAACCUGCCCUUAGGUUCGGAAUAACUCCCCGAAAGGGGUGCUAAUACCGGAGAAUGUCUUCGGACCGAAGGUUUAUCGCCUUUGGAUGGGCCCGCGUUGGAUUAGCUAGUUGUUAGGGUAAAAGCCUACCAAGGGUACGAUCCAUAACUGGUAUGAGAGGAAGAUCAGCGACACUGGGACUGAGACACGGCCCAGAAUACUACGGGAGGGAGCAGUGGGGAAUAUAGGAAAACGGGCGAAAGGAUGAUCCAGCACUGACGCGUGAGUGAUGAAGGCCUUAGGGUUGUAAAGUUAUUUUACCCGGGAUGAUAAUGACAGUACCGGGAGAAUAAGCACCGGCUAACUCCGUG
rnacentral:rRNA from 1 species